rnacentral:rRNA from 1 species
GACGAACGCUGGCGGCGUGCCUAAUACAUGCAAGUAGAACGCACAGUUUAUACCGUAGCUUGCUACACCAUAAACUGUGAGUUGCGAACGGGUGAGUAACGCGUAGGUAACCUGCCUGGUGGCGGGGGAUAACUAUUGGAAACGAUAGCUAAUACCGCAUAAUAUUAAUUAUUGCAUGAUAAUUGAUUGAAAGAUGCAAUUGCAUCACUACCAGAUGGACCUGCGUUGUAUUAGCUAGUAGGUGAGGUAACGGCUCACCUAGGCGACGAUACAUAGCCGACCUGAGAGGGUGAUCGGCCACACUGGGACUGAGACACGGCCCAGACUCCUACGGGAGGCAGCAGUAGGGAAUCUUCGGCAAUGGACGAAAGUCUGACCGAGCAACGCCGCGUGAGUGAAGAAGGUUUUCGGAUCGUAAAGCUCUGUUGUAAGAGAAGAACGGGUGUGAGAGUGGAAAGUUCACACUGUGACGGUAUCUUACCAGAAAGGGACGGCUAACUACGUG